GAGUAGAAGCGGCAACAGCUCAAAUUUGAAAGCUGGCCCUUUUAGGGUCCGCGUUGUAAUUUGUAGAGGAUGAUUCGGCGAGGGCUCCUGCCUAAGUCCCCUGGAACGGGGCGUCAUAGAGGGUGAGAAUCCCGUAUGCGGUAGGUUGCCUUAGCCAUGUGAAUCUCCUUCGACGAGUCGAGUUGUUUGGGAAUGCAGCUCUAAAUGGGAGGUAAAUUUCUUCUAAAGCUAAAUACUGGCCAGAGACCGAUAGCGCACAAGUAGAGUGAUCGAAAGAUGAAAAGCACUUUGGAAAGAGAGUUAAAAAGUACGUGAAAUUGUUGAAAGGGAAGCGCUUGCAACCAGACUUGUCCGCAGUUGCUCAGCCGGUCUCCUGACCGGCGUACUCUUCUGCGGCCAGGCCAGCAUCAGUUCGGGCGGUCGGAUAAAGGCCUCGGGAAUGUAGCUCCUCUCGGGGAGUGUUAUAGCCCGGGGUGGAAUGCGACCAGCCUGGACUGAGGAUCUCGCUUCGGCAAGGAUGCUGGCGUAAUGGUUGUAAGCGGCCCGUCUUGAAACACGGACCA
rnacentral:rRNA from 1 species